rnacentral:rRNA from 1 species
CUUGCUCUUGUUUNCUCAGCGGCGGACGGGUGAGUAACACGUGGGCAACCUGCCCGCAAGACCGGGAUAACUCCGGGAAACCGGAGCUAAUACCGGAUAACACCAAAGACCGCAUGGNCUUUGGUUGAAAGGCGGCUUCGGCUGUCACUUGCGGAUGGGCCCGCGGCGCAUUAGCUAGUUGGUGAGGUAACGGCUCACCAAGGCGACGAUGCGUAGCCGGCCUGAGAGGGUGACCGGCCACACUGGGACUGAGACACGGCCCAGACUCCUACGGGAGGCAGCAGUAGGGAAUCUUCCGCAAUGGACGAAAGUCUGACGGAGCGACGCCGCGUGAGCGAAGAAGGCCUUCGGGUCGUAAAGCUCUGUUGUGAGGGACGAAGGAGCGCCGUUUGAAUAAGGCGGCGCGGUGACGGUACCUCACGAGAAAGCCCCGGCUAACUACGUGCCAGCAGCCGCGGUAAUACGUAGGGGGCGAGCGUUGUCCGGAAUUAUUGGGCGUAAAGCGCGCGCAGGCGGUCCUUUAAGUCUGAUGUGAAAGCCCACGGCUCAACCGUGGAGGGUCAUUGGAAACUGGGGGACUUGAGUGCAGGAGAGGAGAGCGGAAUUCCACGUGUAGCGG